CUGCGAAUGGCUCAUUAUAUAAGUUAUCGUUUAUUUGAUAGUACCUUACUACUUGGAUAACCGUGGUAAUUCUAGAGCUAAUACAUGCUAAAAAUCCCGACUUCGGAAGGGAUGUAUUUAUUAGAUUAAAAACCAAUGCCCUCUGGGCUCCUUGGUGAUUCAUGAUAACUCUUCGAAUCGCACGGCCUUGCGCCGGCGAUGGUUCAUUCAAAUUUCUUCCCUAUCAACUUUCGAUGUUUGGGUAUUGGCCAAACAUGGUUGCAACGGGUAACGGAGGGUUAGGGCUCGACCCCGGAGAAGGAGCCUGAGAAACGGCUACUACAUCCAAGGAAGGCAGCAGGCGCGCAAAUUACCCAAUCCCGAUUCGGGGAGGUAGUGACAAUAAAUACUGAUACAGGGCUCUUUUGGGUCUUGUAAUUGGAAUGAGUACAAUUUAAAUCUCUUAACGAGGAACAAUUGGAGGGCAAGUCUGGUGCCAGCAGCCGCGGUAAUUCCAGCUCCAAUAGCGUAUAUUAAAGUUGUUGUGGUUAAAAAGCUCGUAGUUGAACCUUGGGCCUGGCUGGCCGGUCCGCCUCACCGCGUGCACUGGUCCGGCCGGGCCUUUCCCUCUGUGGAACCCCAUGCCCUUCACUGGGCGUGGCGGGGAAACAGGACGUUUACUUUGAAAAAAUUAGAGUGCUCCAGGCAGGCCUAUGCUCGAAUACAUUAGCAUGGAAUAAUGAAAUAGGACGCGUGGUUCUAUUUUGUUGGUUUCUAGGACCGCCGUAAUGAUUAAUAGGGACAGUCGGGGGCAUCAGUAUUCAAUUGUCAGAGGUGAAAUUCUUGGAUUUAUUGAAGACUAACUACUGCGAAAGCAUUUGCCAAGGAUGUUUUCAUUAAUCAGGAACGAAAGUUAGGGGAUCGAAGACGAUCAGAUACCGUCGUAGUCUUAACCAUAAACUAUGCCGACUAGGGAUCGGACGAUGUUAUUUUUUGACGCGUUCGGCACCUUACGAGAAAUCAAAGUGC
rnacentral:rRNA from 2 species